CACGAACGCUGGCGGCAGGCUUAACACAUGCAAGUCGAGCGCCCCGCAAGGGGAGCGGCAGACGGGUGAGUAACGCGUGGGAAUCUACCCAUCUCUACGGAAUAACGCAUGGAAACGUGUGCUAAUACCGUAUACGUCCUUCGGGAGAAAGAUUUAUCGGAGAUGGAUGAGCCCGCGUUGGAUUAGCUAGUUGGUGGGGUAAAGGCCUACCAAGGCGACGAUCCAUAGCUGGUCUGAGAGGAUGAUCAGCCACACUGGGACUGAGACACGGCCCAGACUCCUACGGGAGGCAGCAGUGGGGAACAUUGGACAAUGGGCGCAAGCCUGAUCCAGCCAUGCCGCGUGAGUGAUAAAGGCCCUAGGGUUGUAAAGCUCUUUCACCGGUGAAGAUAAUGACGGUAACCGGAGAAGAAGCCCCGGCUAACUUCGUGCCAGCCGCCGCAGUAAUAC
rnacentral:rRNA from 1 species